rnacentral:rRNA from 1 species
UGGGGAAUAUUGGACAAUGGGCGAAAGCCUGAUCCAGCAAUGCCGCGUGAGUGAAGAAGGCCUUAGGGUUGUAAAGCUCUUUCACCCGCGACGAUGAUGACGGUAGCGGGAGAAGAAGCCCCGGCUAAUUCCGUGCCAGCAGCCGCGGUAAUACGGAAGGGGCUAGCGUUGUUCGGAAUCACUGGGCGUAAAGCGCGCGUAGGCGGCCGGUCAAGUGCGGCGUGAAAGUCCUGGGCUCAACCCGGGGACGGCGCUGCGGACUGUCCGGCUGGAGUCCGGAAGAGGGUGGUGGAAUUCCGAGUGUAGAGGUGAAAUUCGUAGAUAUUCGGAGGAACACCGGUGGCGAAGGCGGCCACCUGGUCCGGUACUGACGCUCAAGCGCGAAAGCGUGGGGAGCAAACAGGAUUAGAUACCCUGGUAGUCCACGCCGUAAACGAUGGGUGCUAGAUGUCGGGGGGCUUGCCCUUCGGUGUCGUAGCUAACGCGUUAAGCACCCCGCCUGGGGAGUACGGCCGCAAGGUU